ACACCGGCAGCUCAAGUGGUAGCUGUUUUUAUUGGGCCUAAAGCGUUCGUAGCCGGUUUGAUAAGUCUUUGGUGAAAGCUUAUGGCUUAACUGUAAGAAUUGCUGAAGAUACUGUCAGACUUGAAGUCGGGAGAGGUUAGAGGUACUACCGGGGUAGGGGUGAAAUCCUAUAAUCCUGGGAGGACCACCUGUGGCGAAGGCGUCUAACUGGAACGAUCUUGACGGUGAGUAACGAAAGCCAGGGGCGCGAACCGGAUUAGAUACCCGGGUAGUCCUGGCCGUAAACGAUGUGGACUUGGUGUUGGAAUGGCUUCGAGUUGUUCCAGUGCCGAAGGGAAGCUGUUAAGUCCACCGCCUGGGAAGUACGGUCGCAAGACUGAA
rnacentral:rRNA from 1 species